GAUCCUACGGGAGGCAGCAGUGAGGAAUAUUGGUCAAUGGGAGGAAUCCUGAACCAGCCAUGCCGCGUGCAGGACGACGGCUCUACGAGUUGUAAACUGCUUUUGUACCGGGGUAAAAUGCCUUACGAGUAGGGUUUUGAAAGUACGGUACGAAUAAGGAUCGGCUAACUCCGUGCCAGCAGCCGCGGUAAUACGUAGGGGGCAAGCGUUGUUCGGAAUGACUGGGCGUAAAGGGUGUGUAGGCGGUGUAGCAAGUUAGAAGUGAAAUACCUAGAGCUUAACUCAGGUGCUGCUUCUAAAACUGC
rnacentral:rRNA from 1 species